rnacentral:misc_RNA from 1 species
UACGUAGGUGGCAAGCGUUAUCCGGAAUUAUUGGGCGUAAAGCGCGCGCAGGCGGUUUCUUAAGUCUGAUGUGAAAGCCCCCGGCUCAACCGGGGAGGGUCAUUGGAGACUGGAAGACUUGAGUACUGAAGAGGAGAGUGGAAUUCCACGUGUAGCGGUGAAAUGCGUAGAGAUGUGGAGGAACACCAGUGGCGAAGGCGACUCUCUGGUCAGUAACUGACGCUGAGGCGCGAAAGCGUGGGGAGCAAACAGG